ACUUCAUUAAUUGGAAAAACUCUCAGAUAUUUUUGUCUGAAGCUCUCUUUUCUCUCGUUAUUUUAUAAAGCUUCUUUUGGAGAAACAGUAUGCUUUGCCAAAUCCUGUAAUCGAGGCUCUUGUUGCACAUUUUAUGAGAUCUGUGGAGGAACCAAGAGUAAUGCCUGUGAUAUGGCACCAGUCUCUUCUUGCAUUUGUGCAAAGGAAGGUUAUAACCGUUAUAACUUUGUAAGAGGUUUUUGCUUGCCUAAAUGAUUAAUGAGCAGCAAUUUUCUUCCAAUUUUGAGUCAUAUUUAAGAGUUCAUGAUUUGUGGUUUUUUUUUCUUUCCAAAUUACAGUUGGUGUGCAUAAUCCCUUGCAGGUACAAAAAUGAUAUAACAAAGGACAACAAAGAUAAGCUUAGGAAUCUUCUUGAAGCACAAAACCACCGUGAGAAACAAUGCCAGAGUUGAUAGCGCACGUGCAUAUUGGUUCAACCUUUAAGUCCAAGAUUCAUAUCUACAGAAUAAUUUGGAAAAAAAAAUUGGUACAAGUUGUGUUCCCCUUGACUUUACAUACAUUCUCUGAUGUCUGUGUUCAAUAAACCAAUCGAUGAAGACAUGUUUGAUAUUCCAGAGGUGCCUCUGGAGGAUGACUAAUUCAAUACUAGGUGGGUCUGGCUAAAGAAAUAAUGCACAAGUACAUGCUUGGGAGGAAAUGCAAUACUGUUCUUGCAUUGGAAUGGCAUUAAUGUAGCCACCUGGUAUCAGGCAGUCAAUGUGGUUACUUUUAUACCAGUAUUUUAGUUUUAUGUUUUGGGUUGGGGUAUGACACAAUGAAUCCUCAAACCCAGAAAUGAUUUUUCCUUAGCCCUCUUGUAGAGUUAAGGCUUCUACCUUUUGGGUUGGGGUAUGAAUAUGACACAAUGAACCCUCAAAUCCAAAAUGAGUUUUCCUUAGUCCCCUAGUAGAGUUAAGGCUUCUACUCUUUUGGCGGGAAGAGAUGAUUGGACAAGUCUUUUGUACCCAACUUGUUAAUUUAUUUUCUGGAGUGAAAUUUAUCAAACUAUUGUUUUCUUUUUAGAAAAUUUUCCUUUUCGGUCUACCUGCUUUUAAGGAUGCUUUCUCAAAGACUUGACUUUAAUUGGUCAUGAUGUUUUUCUUUGGUCAAAUGUUUUGCCAUGGAGGUUUCUAUUGGUAAUUGUUAUCUCGCAGAUUGGCCGGCUAUGGGAAGUUGCUUAGUACUCCUAUUUUUGUCCUUACAAAAUUUUUAAUACUUUAGUUAGUUUGGAGUUCUAGCUAGAAAUUUCCCUUGAGCAUUAUGGAUGAGGCCUACUAUAGUGUGAAAAUUGAUUAUUUGAUUUACUGUGAUUCCUGCUGUUUUGAAGCUUAUGAAGAAUUAUACUCCCAGCUGAUCAGGUCUCAAGAUUUUCAAUAUUUGUAUAUAUUCCCUAUAUUCCUGGGGUUUCUUGGACUGCAAGUUCCUCCGCUAGGACUCUUUAGAGUACUGUGCGUUUGAUAAUACAUAUAUAUUGUCUGAAGCAAGAAGUAGGUGGCUUCAAUAGUGGAGUUACGUACUGAGCGACCUCAUAUUUUCUUCUAUUGGUACAGGAUCGACAUUUUUCUUUUUCUUUUUGAGAAUACAGGAUCGACAUUUAAAAUUUU